rnacentral:lncRNA from 10 species
GCAAAGCAAUCAACAGGAAAGAAGGUAUUUGUGCUCUGGGUGGAACUUCAGAGUUGUCCAGCGAAGGAACACAGCAUUCUUACUCAGGUAAUCAUUUUAUAUGCAAUAGGUUAACAUAUAUACAAAAUAUAUAUGUAUAAUAUAUAUAAAAUAUAUAUUAUACAUAUAUGUUAUAUAAUAUAUGUAUAUAUACGUAUAUAAAGUAUAUAUUAUACAUAUAUGUUAUAUAUAAUAUCGCAAUUUUGGCUCACCGCAACCUCCGCCUCUGGGUUCAAGCCAUUCUCCUGCCUCAGCCUCCUGAGUAGCUGGGACUACAGGCAUGCACCACCACACCCGGCUAAAUUUUUUUAUUAUUAUUUCUUUACUUUUAGUAGAGAUGGGGUUUCUCCAUGUUGGUCAGGCUGGUCUCGAACUCCAGACCUCAGGUGAUCUGCCCGCCUCGGC